CGAUAGGCUUAACACAUGCAAGUCGAGGGGCAUCGGGGUGUAGCAAUACACUGCCGGCGACCGGCGCACGGGUGAGUAACACGUAUCCAAUCUACCCAUAACUCUGGGAUAGCCCGUCGAAAGGCGGAUUAAUACCGGAUAAUACAGGGGCACCGCAUGGUGAUAUUUGUUAAAGAUUUAUUGGUUAUGGAUGAGGAUGCGUUCCAUUAGGUAGUUGGUAGGGUAACGGCCUACCAAGCCAUCGAUGGAUAGGGGAACUGAGAGGUUUAUCCCCCACACUGGUACUGAGACACGGACCAGACUCCUACGGGAGGCAGCAGUGAGGAAUAUUGGUCAAUGGGCGAGAGCUUGAACCAGCCAAAUCGCGUGAAGGAAGAAGGUAUUAUGUAUUGUAAACUUCUUUUGUAUGGGAAUAAAAAGGCCUACGUGUAGGCUGUUGCAUGUACCAUACGAAUAAGCAUCGGCUAACUCCGUGCCAGCAGCCGCGGUAAUACGGAGGAUGCGAGCGUUAUCCGGAUUUAUUGGGUUUAAAGGGUGCGUAGGGUGGAGUAAUAAGUCAGUGGUGAAAUCCCGGAGCUCAACUCCGGAACUGCCAUUGAAACUGUUAGUCUUGAGUGUGAACGAGGUAGGCGGAAUUCGUAGUGUAGCGGUGAAAUGCUUAGAUAUACGAAGAACACCGAUAGCGCAGGCAGCUUACCAGGCACACUGACACUGAUGCACGAAGUGUGGGUAUCAACAGGAUAGGAUACCCUGGCUAGUCACA
rnacentral:rRNA from 1 species